UGGCUCUUGGGAGAAGGUCUUCCCCACACUGUAGAGAAUACCUCAAAUGGAUCAACCAGGUAAACAGGAGGUGUUUAGCCAAUGCUAGCUAGUGGUAUGAAGACCUGACUGCAGCUCCAUUGGCUUCUCUGAGGCUGGUUGGAUUCUGGUCAGUAUCCUAUCCUCAUCACUAUGCUUUAUUCCUUACGACCAUGUGAAAGCCUAUUGCUUUCAGCUCCUUGACCUAAUCUAAUGUGAUGAUUCAUAUCUUUCUUUUCACAUCUCC
rnacentral:lncRNA from 1 species